rnacentral:snRNA from 1 species
GCUUCCUUUAAUCUCAAA